AAAGCUCAAAUACGAAAUGGAGAACGUAAUGUAUUGGAUAGAUCAGCGUGGUUACUGAUGUGUGGCAAACAAUAUUCAUGCGAGCCUGUGAGCUAGUAAAGACGUGAAUAUUGUUGGCAUUAGUGGUUAACGUUAAAUGUGGCACA